rnacentral:rRNA from 1 species
UACGUAGGUGGCAAGCGUUAUCCGGAAUUAUUGGGCGUAAAGCGCGCGCAGGUGGUUCCUUAAGUCUGAUGUGAAAGCCCCCGGCUCAACCGGGGAGGGUCAUUGGAAACUGGGGAACUUGAGUGCAGAAGAGGAAAGUGGAAUUCCACGUGUAGCGGUGAAAUGCGUAGAGAUGUGGAGGAACACCAGUGGCGAAGGCGACUUUCUGGUCUGUAACUGACACUGAGGCG